UCUCUGGUAGUAUAUCGGUUAGUACACGCGCCUGUCAUCCAUCAUGGCUAGGCUGACUUCAUCCGCGCGAAAGCUGGGUUCGACUCCCAGCCAGAGAG